rnacentral:rRNA from 1 species
AUACAUGCAAGUCGAACGCUUCUUUUCCCACCGGAGCUUGCUCCACCGGGAAAAGAGGAGUGGCGAACGGGUGAGUAACACGUGGGUAACCUGCCCAUCAGAAGGGGAUAACACUUGGAAACAGGUGCUAAUACCGUAUAACAAUCGAAACCGCAUGGUUUCGUUUUGAAAGGCGCUUUACGGUGCCGCUGAUGGAUGGACCCGCGGUGCAUUAGCUAGUUGGUGAGGUAACGGCUCACCAAGGCCACGAUGCAUAGCCGACCUGAGAGGGUGAUCGGCCACAUUGGGACUGAGACACGGCCCAAACUCCUACGGGAGGCAGCAGUAGGGAAUCUUCGGCAAUGGACGAAAGUCUGACCGAGCAACGCCGCGUGAGUGAAGAAGGUUUUCGGAUCGUAAAACUCUGUUGUUAGAGAAGAACAAGGGUGAGAGUAACUGUUCACCCCUUGACGGUAUCUAACCAGAAAGCCACGGCUAACUACGUGCCAGCAGCCGCGGUAAUACGUAGGUGGCAAGCGUUGUCCGGAUUUAUUGGGCGUAAAGCGAGCGCAGGCGGUUUCUUAAGUCUGAUGUGAAAGCCCCCGGCUCAACCGGGGAGGGUCAUUGGAAACUGGGAGACUUGAGUGCAGAAGAGGAGAGUGGAAUUCCAUGUGUAGCGGUGAAAUGCGUAGAUAUAUGGAGGAACACCAGUGGCGAAGGCGGCUCUCUGGUCUGUAACUGACGCUGAGGCUCGAAA